UACGUAGGGCGCAAGCGUUAUCCGGAAUUAUUGGGCGUAAAGAGCUCGUAGGCGGUUUGUCGCGUCUGCCGUGAAAGUCCGGGGCUCAACUCCGGAUCUGCGGUGGGUACGGGCAGACUAGAGUGUGGUAGGGGAGACUGGAAUUCCUGGUGUAGCGGUGGAAUGCGCAGAUAUCAGGAGGAACACCAAUGGCGAAGGCAGGUCUCUGGGCCACUACUGACGCUGAGAAGCGAAAGCAUGGGGAGCGAACAGG
rnacentral:rRNA from 1 species